UACGGGGGGAGCAAGCGUUGUUCGGAUUUACUGGGCGUAAAGGGCGCGUAGGCGGUCAGCACAAGUCAGUUGUGAAAUCUCCGGGCUUAACUCGGAAAGGUCAACUGAUACUGUGCGACUAGAGUGCGGAAGGGGCAACUGGAAUUCUCGGUGUAGCGGUGAAAUGCGUAGAUAUCGAGAGGAACACCUGCGGCGAAGGCGGGUUGCUGGGCCGAUACUGACGCUGAUGCGCGAAAGCCAGGGGAGCGAACGGG
rnacentral:rRNA from 1 species